AGCCGCGGUAAUACGGAGGGUGCAAGCGUUAAUCGGAAUCAUUGGGUUUAAAGGGUCCGUAGGCGGUUUUAUAAGUCAGUGGUGAAAUCCGGCAGCUCAACUGUCGAACUGCCAUUGAUACUGUAGGACUUGAAUUAUUAUGAAGUAACUAGAAUAUGUAGUGUAGCGGUGAAAUGCUUAGAUAUUACAUGGAAUACCAAUUGCGAAGGCAGGUUACUAAUAAUGGAUUGACGCUGAUGGACGAAAGCGUGGGGAGCGAACA
rnacentral:rRNA from 1 species